rnacentral:rRNA from 1 species
GACGAACGCUGGCGGCGUGCUUAACACAUGCAAGUCGAACGGUAAGGCCCUUCGGGGUACACGAGUGGCGAACGGGUGAGUAACACGUGGGUGAUCUGCCCUGCACUUCGGGAUAAGCCUGGGAAACUGGGUCUAAUACCGGAUAGGACCACUGCCUGCAUGGGUGGUGGGGGAAAGCUUUUGCGGUGUGGGAUGGGCCCGGGGACUAUUGGCUUGUUGGUGGGGUGAUGGCCUACCAAGGCGAAGACGGGUAGCCGGCCUGAGAGGGUGACCGGCCACACUGGGACUGAGAUACGGCCCAGACUCCUACGGGAGGCAGCAGUGGGGAAUAUUGCACAAUGGGCGCAAGCCUGAUGCAGCGACGCCGCGUGAGGGAUGACGGCCUUCGGGUUGUAAACCUCUUUCAGCACCGACGAAGCGCAAGUGACGGUAGGUGCAGAAGAAGGACCGGCCAACUACGUGCCAGCAGCCGCGGUAA